rnacentral:rRNA from 1 species
GACGAACGCUGGCGGCGUGCUUAACACAUGCAAGUCGAACGGAAAGGCCCUGCUUUUGUGGGGUGCCCGAGUGGCGAACGGGUGCGUAACACGUGAGUAACCUGCCCUUGUCUUUGGGAUAACUUCAGGAAACUGGGGCUAAUAUCGGAUAGGAUCUCCUGCUGCAUGGUGGGGGUUGGAAAGUUUCGGCGGUUGGGGAUGGACUCGCGGCUUACCAGCUUGCUGGUGGGGUAGUGGCUUACCAAGGCUUUGACGGGUAGCCGGCCUGAGAGGGUGACCGGCCACAUUGGGACUGAGAUACGGCGCAGACUCCAACGGGAGGCAGCAGUGGGGAAUCUUGCACAAUGGGCGGAAGCCUGAUGCAGCAACGCCGCGUGCGGGAUGACGGCCUUCGGGUUGUAAACCGCUUUCGCCUGUGACGAAGCGUGAGUGACGGUAAUGGGUAAAGAAGCACCGGCUAACUACGUG